UUGAAGAGCUUGGAGAGGAAGCUUUCUGAAAUUUCCUGGAAUGGGGUUCCCUCCAACAUGCCUAAUGGUGGGCAGGCUAGAAAGUAUAUGGAUGAUGAACCAAUUCAGGAAGAGACUCCUAGAAAAGAGAGGGUUCUAUUAAAUGGUCAGGUUGAAGAGAAUGUCGUGCAUGGACAAAAAGAUUUACAUGUAUCUAACGGAAGCUCUGCUGCUCAAGAGGGGCCAGCUCAUUCUGAAAGUUUAGACCAUGAAGAAAAAAAUGAUUCUGAUUUCCAUGGGCAAAAGGAUUUCAUGGAUCAUAGAGAAACCGAGUUGGUUGUUCUGGAAAAUGAAAUCUCAGACCUUAAUGAUAGGUUGGAGGCACUCGAGACUGAUCAUGAUUUUCUUGAGCACAUGCUUUACUCUCUUCAAAAUGGAAAUGAAGGCCUACGGUUUGUUCAAGACAUAGCUCAUCAGCUGCGAGAAUUGCGAAAAAUUGGGACCGCUUUCAGUUGUCAGUCUGUUUCCUAACUUCAGAUGCACCAUCACAUGAUUUAUUUGAAAUACAAAGGCAGAAAUCAAAACCAAUGCUUCGAGUUUCAAUCAGCGAUCAUCUGAGAGCAAAAAUGAAGAAAUCAAUUGCAUUCCUUCGGUCACCUACAAUCAUGAAAAACCAAAAUGAAUUUCAUGUACAGGUACCAGCCAAAACUCUUGGAAGAAAAAAAAAAGGUCUAUAAUAGGACAUAGCUUUCCCAUCUUGGAAGCUCAAUUUUGCAUCUUCUUUUUUCCACUGUUGGGUCUAUUUGGCCCUUCACUUUGUUUGAUUGGAGAGCUGGCAGGUUUUAAGUUCCAUGUUUUUCUAUGAGACUGUAAAAUUAGCAUUUUUAUGUAGUUCCUAUUUCUUCUUCUCCAA